GCAGCAAGAAACAAACAAUGAGGCGUUAUCUUAUUGUUGUGUUAUGCCAACGCUUCACUGUGAAUAUACUACUAUCUGCAAACUGUAAAGUGCAUUGUAAAAGCAGUCAUUCUUUGGCCUCUGAGCAAAUGAUGGAAAGUUAACAUAACUUACAGAAACAACCGAGUUGGCUCGUUUAGGGUUUUUUUUCGCACGCAGCAUUAGGAGACUGAUGAAGAGGAGUUUGACCACCACAACGUCUUCAUGGACAAAAGAAUGGACAUUGAUAUCAACCAGCUUGGCUGUAAAUGCUUUGGGAAACAACCUGGUUUUCUGCAGGAUGGUUUUCUGUGGAUGGAAAUGAAGGGAAUAAACUUCAGGUGACCAUCUUCAGUGAAUCUUCCUUCAGUCCUCCAGGAGUCUUAUAAAAACCAAAAUUCGACUACAGUUCAGACUAAAGGGCAUGCACACCAGGGGUGGUCAAAUAACACGCACUGGGAGUGGUGCAGAUUCAGUGUGGGACUGCCAAAGUGGAUCUCUGAGGCGGCUGAAAAAUCUUUGGAGCACUGUCAUUGCCUUCCACCAUGUUUUUACUGACAACCCAUGUUGCAUGUUGUACCUGCAUAGCUGUAUCUGGAAGACGAUUGCUUGCUUUGGUUAAUGCUGGAUAGUGUUUAACCCUUCAGCAGAGGAGUUUUUCCAAAGCAUGGUAAAACAUUGGGAUUUUGCUGUACCAUGAUUUAACAUGCGAUUGGUAACCUUUUCAUCUCUAUUCGGCAUUAUCAGAUUAGGGCUGCAUUCACAUUACCUGCUGACAUGGGCCAAAUCUGAUGUUUUCUCACACGUGUACACAAAGUAAAUCGGAUUUAUUUUUUUUCCCCCAAAUCAGAUCUGGGCCACUUUUUAGAUGCGCUCCUACUGUAGAUCCGAUUCAUAUCUGACCAUGUGACCACUGUCAACAGUCAGAUCGGCAUUCAUCUUUUUUUUUUUUUCUUAAAUAUCUCACUUGGUCCAUGAACAUAUCGCCCGUUAAUCAUCAUUCAGUGUUGGUUCAUUACAGACCUGUAAAAAUAAACAAGCAGGAGAGCAGGGUCAGUGGAGAGACAAGAAUGUUACGAACUUCGCCAUUUAUGUAGAAGCUUGUGAUCACACCAAGCAGGAAGGAGUAGGCCUAUAAAUAACCAAGCAGUGU